rnacentral:rRNA from 1 species
AGACCGAUAGCAAACAAGUACGGUGACGGAAGAUUGAAAAGAACUUUGAAGAGAGAGUUCAAUAGUACGUGAAACUGUGUGGUGGUAAACGGAGGGGUUCUCGAAGUUUCUGGAGGGAACUCAGCCUUGGAGUGGGGCUGUCUGGUUGUAUCUGAUCAGCAAUGACAGUGCGGCUAGUCAGGCUCUGUUCACGGGUGCAUUUCCCCUUCAGUUUACGGCAGGAACCGUUUAGUGCAGACCUAAGGCUCUGGGUGAAGUUAUAGGCCUAGCUUGUAGCCCCGGAUGUUCUGGCUUUGCGCUAGACGGGUAAUUGAGGAGACUCGUAUAGCGAGCAAUGCUCUGUUGCAGUCUCCAUCUCUCUGCCGAGUAGGUCGGUGGCCCCUCCGACCCGUCUUGAAACACGGAC